GGGAUGCCGGCUGCUUCACCAUGCAAGUCUGACGGAAACGAUACUAGCUUGCUAGUAGGCGUCGAGUGGCGGACGGGUGAGUAACGCGUAGGAAUCUGCCUGAUAGUGGGGGAUAGCCCGGAGAAAUUCGGAUUAAUACCGCAUAAUCUAUUCGUAGUAAAGUGGGGGACUUUCGAGCCUCACGCUAUCAGAUGAGCCUGCGUAAGAUUAGCUAGUUGGUAGGGUAAAAGCCUACCAAGGCGACGAUCUUUAGCUGGUCUGAGAGGAUGAUCAGCCACAUCGGGACUGAGACACGGCCCGAACUCCUACGGGAGGCAGCAGCGGGGAAUAUUGGACAAUGGGGGCAACCCUGAUCCAGCAAUACCGCGUGUGUGAAGAAGGCCUGAGGGUUGUAAAGCACUUUCAAUUGUGAAGAAAAGUUAGCGGUUAAUAACCGUUAGCCUUGACGUUAACUUUAGAAGAAGCACCGGCUAACUCCGUGCCAGCAGCCGCGGUAAUACGGAGGGUGCAAGCGUUAAUCGGAAUUACUGGGCGUAAAGCGUGCGUAGGCGGUUUAUUAAGUCAGAUGUGAAAGCCCCGGGCUUAACCUGGGAACUGCAUUUGAAACUGGUAAACUAGAGUAUGGUAGAGGAAAGUGGAAUUUCUGGUGUAGCGGUGAAAUGCGUAGAUAUCAGAAGGAACAUCAAUGGCGAAGGCAGCUUUCUGGACCAAUACUGACGCUGAGGUACGAAAGCGUGGGUAGCAAACAGGAUUAGAUACCCUGGUAGUCCACGCCGUAAACGAUGAUAACUAGCCGUUGGGGGGAUUUACCCUUUAGUGGCGAAGCUAACGCGUUAAGUUAUCCGCCUGGGGAGUACGGCCGCAAGGUUAAAACUCAAAGGAAUUGACGGGGACCCGCACAAGCGGUGGAGCAUGUGGUUUAAUUCGAUGCAACGCGAAGAACCUUACCUGGUCUUGACAUCCUGCGAACUUUCUAGAAAUAGAUUGGUGCCUUCGGGAACGCAGUGACAGGUGCUGCAUGGCUGUCGUCAGCUCGUGUCGUGAGAUGUUGGGUUAAGUCCCGUAACGAGCGCAACCCCUAUCCUUAUUUGCCAGCACAUCAUGGUGGGAACUAUAAGGAGACUGCCGGUGAUAAACCGGAGGAAGGCGGGGACGACGUCAAGUCAUCAUGGCCCUUACGACCAGGGCUACACACGUGCUACAAUGGGAAGGACAAAGAGCCGCGAAGCCGCGAGGUGUAGCUAAUCUCAUAAACCUUUUCGUAGUCCGGAUUGGAGUCUGCAACUCGACUCCAUGAAGUCGGAAUCGCUAGUAAUCGUAGAUCAGAAUGCUACGGUGAAUACGUUCCCGGGUCUUGUACACACCGCCCGUCAUACCAUGGGAGUGGGUUGCACCANGAAGUGGCUAGUCUAACUUAGUGAGGACGGUCACGCAGCGGUGGAUUA
rnacentral:rRNA from 1 species